AACCGCAGUAUUUCAUGCUUCUACUUGACUCUCAGAUAUGAAGUGCACCCCACCAGUGUCGGCUCUAGACUUGGCGAGGCCUUAGGCGAAACUCAUACAUGAGGCCCCAACUAACACCAUUAUUGGAAACAAAUAGCAGUUGACUUGUGUGUGUAUAAGAAGCUGUAGAUAUAUUGAAAUGGGAGCUUGCAGCACUAGAUAUAGAGAACUAGUCUUUGUGUACAUCGUUGCAUUGUCUACCUGUGUGUGCCUGAGAGUGUGUGUCUGGCACUG